GUGUUCUCGGUGGCUUAGGGGUUAGAGCGCCUGCCUAAUAAGCAGGAGAACCCAGGUUCGAAUCCCGGCAGGGCACA